rnacentral:rRNA from 1 species
CGUAGGGGGCUAGCGUUGUCCGGAAUCAUUGGGCGUAAAGAGCGUGUAGGCGGUCCGGUAAGUCCGCUGUGAAAGUCGGGGGCUCAACCCUCGAAUGCCGGUGGAUACUGUCGGGCUAGAGUGCGGAAGAGGCGAGUGGAAUUCCUGGUGUAGCGGUGAAAUGCGCAGGAUAUCAGGAGGAGCACCUAUUGCGAAGGCAGCUCGCUGGGACGUAACUGACGCUGAGACGCGAAAGCGUGGGGAGCAACAGGAUUAGAUACCCUGGUAGUCCACGCUGUAAACGAUGGGCACUAGGUGUGGGGGGUGUCGACUCCCUCCGUGCCGAAGCUAACGCAUUAAGUGCCCCGCCUGGGGAGUACGGCCGCAAGGCUA